CCUACGUGGGGCAGCAGUGAGGAAUAUUGGUCAAUGGACGAGAGUCUGAACCAGCCAAGUAGCGUGAAGGAUGACUGCCCUAUGGGUUGUAAACUUCUUUUAUAAAGGAAUAAAACGAGGCACGUGUGCCUUUUUGCAUGUACUUUAUGAAUAAGGAUCGCCUAAAUCCGUACCAGCAGCCGCGGUCAUACGGAGGAUCCGAGCGUUAUCCGGAUUUAUUGGGUUUAAAGGGAGCGUAGAUGGGUUGUUAAGUCAGUUGUUAAAGUUUGUGGCUCAACCGUAAAAUUGCAAUUGAGACUGGCAGUCUUGAGUACAGUUGAGGUAGGCGGAAUUCGUGGUGGAGCGGUGAAAUGCUUAGAUAUCACGAAGAACCCCGAUUGCGAAGGCAGCUUACUAAACUGUGACUGACAUUGAUGCUCGAAAGUGUGGGUAUCAAACAGGAUUAGAUACCCUAGUAGUC
rnacentral:rRNA from 1 species